rnacentral:rRNA from 1 species
CACUCUUAGCAAGGCUUUUACAAUAAUGAAGAAUGCAAUAAAAUGUGAUACAUGAUGUGAAUUAUAGAAUUUCAUAAAUCAUUAAAGUUUUAAAUGCAACUUGUGUCGGAUGUUUAUUUUGAGGGAAUGUCU